AGAUAAAGAGGGAGUCAGCCCAUGAGAGCAUGAUGAUCAACCCAGUACGAGUCGUACUUGUAAAUAUUCGUUUUUCGUUUAAAAUUAGAGAUAGAGUUCUAGUCGGUUAAGAAGUCGUUUGUAAAAAGGCUAUAAAUAGCCACCCUUGUAGAUCUGUAAUCAUCAUCAAAUCAAUACAACAAACUACUAUUUCCUCGUACUUACUUUCGAGCAGGCGACUUCGCCAAUACUUU
rnacentral:lncRNA from 1 species